UCGGUUUAUUUAGUUUAGUUUUUAAGAACCAAAAUUAAAAGUCGAAAAUAGAAUAAAAUGGUCGAAAACCAAUAAUAGUCAAUAAUAGAACUGAUUAUAAAUUGAUAUAAAGUGAAUCAGACUGGUUCAUUUUUCAGAAUUUGAAAUAAAAAAAAAAAAAAAAUUCUUGAACUGAUCAAUUUCAAAUACUUGAAUAUGCUCACGCCUAAACCACAUCACAUAUUUUUGUUAAGCACCAGUUCCUUAUCAUUUGACUGUCUACUUUAUUAUAUAGAACACAAAUGAACAAUUAAAACUCUAGUAAUGUCCACGAGGCAUUUUGGAGUUGAGAAACAAGGCCAAGUAUCUAACAAGGAAAGUAGAUAUAUUUUUUUUUGAAAUAUUAUAUGCAACACAAUUUACAAAUAGAUAAAUAGGAAUAAACCCAAAGAAAUAUUAACAUAUGUAUAAAGUCUAAAGAAAUACAUAACAUAAACUCUCAUGGCUAGUGAAAGGCUCAAACCCAUUACUUUAUAGUUAUAAGUUAAGGAGAGGAUGUGCCGGCCAAUCUAAUUAAAGAGUUAUAAUUACGUUUGUCAUUCAAUAGGGAUUUUAUUAAACUUGCUAGUAUCACAAAAUUAAGAUCAAUCUUCUCGUGAGAAUCAUUUGGAAUUAUAUCUGAAAGAUGUUAACAAUAAGUCUUUUCAAAAUUGAUUAUUUGUCCCUAUGUUGAAGUUGUUCUAUAAAAUGGCUGCACCUUAUUGAAGUUAUCUUGUUAUAAUGACUUAAAGAAGAUAUUGCAAUGAGGAGACAAUGGUAGGGCAUAUUGAUCGCCAAGCAUGGCGGGAAAACUUCUUGUUCUCUCUGUGUCUCAAGGCAUGCAUCUAAAUUCUAAAAGAUAACAAUCAUUCAUGCCCUUCAACUUCUUGUUCUCUCUGUGUCUCAGGUCUUGAAGCGUGCUUCUGCUAUUAAUUAAACCAAUCAUUCAUGCCCUUCAAUUUCGUCCCGUUCACGCAUUUUCAUAUGAUUAAUUACUAUCUUAUAUCCUUUAUCUGUAUCAACUGCGUGAUUCCCUAAUUGGUCUAGAAAAUUUGGCAUUCCAUUAGCGUUGAUUUUGUCUGAUUCUCGUGCAAAAUCCUAUCAUUUUAGCUUCUACUGUAAUCAACAUAUACCACUUAUUCCCUUAUUAUUUUCAUAAUGGUUAAUAAUCCUCCUGACAGCAUAAUUUUACCGUAUUUCAAAUAUAUUUAUA
rnacentral:lncRNA from 1 species